rnacentral:lncRNA from 1 species
GCUGCUCCAGACUUCUUGGCUCCUGCAGGCCACCUGGACGGAUAUGUGCAGGUCACAGGGGUUACAAUGGCUAAGCUUCAGCUCACAGGCCUGACAUUUUUGUCUUUUUAUUUAUAAAAUAUGAAGUUGUAGGAAAAGAUUAAAAAAAAGUGUAAGUUCCUUCUGGGGAUUACUGGGGUAGGGCUGAUAUUUCUCCGGACUGCUUCAAGUGUGACCAGGGACUGCGUGGACACCUUAAAGAAAAUUUUAUAAUGAGUCUAAGAAGAAAAAGACUGGACAGGGAGAUUGGAGGGUAGCGACAGAGGCUGGAGAAAAGAGUGAAGAGACCACUUACCCGAUUUGAAAUUGAGGAGGGAGUCACAAGGUGCAUGGUGGAGAGAUGAUGGGACUCAUUGUCCAGAAGAAUGUCACAGGGUCGAUUGAUCAGUUGGGGCAGGGCAGGAACACGUCAUAAUGGUGGAAUGUCGUAAGAGUGAGAACUUGUGACGGUGAAUAACUCUUCUCUUUCCUGGUACCUGGACUUCAGAGAUUAAUACAAAACCCUGUGGGUCAGGACUUGGCAACACCAAGAAGCAUUCAAAUAUAAUGAUUUAUUCAACUGUGUAUUGUCAUGGAAAUAAUAAUUAAAUGGCACAUCUUUGUUGUCUGAA